GGCAGUGUGGUGUUGUGGUUUAAGCAUUGGACUACAACUCCAGAGAUUAGGGUUUGAUUCUCCACUCUGCCA